rnacentral:rRNA from 1 species
GACGAACGCUGGCGGCGUGCUUAACACAUGCAAGUCGAACGGAAAGGCCCUGCUUUUGUGGGGUGCUCGAGUGGCGAACGGGUGAGUAACACGUGAGUAACCUGCCCUUGACUUUGGGAUAACUUCAGGAAACUGGGGCUAAUACCGGAUAGGAGCUCCUGCUGCAUGGUGGGGGUUGGAAAGUUUCGGCGGUUGGGGAUGGACUCGCGGCUUAUCAGCUUGUUGGUGGGGUAGUGGCUUACCAAGGCUUUGACGGGUAGCCGGCCUGAGAGGGUGACCGGCCACAUUGGGACUGAGAUACGGCCCAGACUCCUACGGGAGGCAGCAGUGGGGAAUAUUGCACAAUGGGCGGAAGCCGGAUGCAGCAACGCCGCGUGCGGGAUGACGGCCUUCGGGUUGUAAACCGCUUUCGCCUGUGACGAAGCGUGAGUGACGGUAAUGUGUAAAGAAGCACCGGCUAACUACGUG